AGUUCGGCAGUGGGCAGAUCGCUCGCCAAUCCGGUCAGGUCCGGAAGGAAGCAGCCGUAACGAGUUCUGGUNUGGGUCGCCGCCGACUCCUU
rnacentral:SRP_RNA from 1 species